rnacentral:lncRNA from 1 species
CCCUCAGCACUCCCCAUGGGGCUCACUAACCUUGGCUACCUUCAUCGUUUAUGGGAGUUGAGCUGUGCAUGCUUGAGACUGCCAUUUGUUUCUUCUUGCAUUGAAAUAACUUGCUUUUCUCUUUCAGCAACCCUGGGGUUCAACAAUUUGAAACUGCUUCACACCAAGAGCAGAGAAACUCGCUCUGUGGUUAUCACCUCAGAGAGACACAAUACCCAAAACCUGAGAACAUUCGCCUUGUUUUGUUGGAGUCAACACAUCUGCCAGGUUAUCUGUCUUCAGUCAACAUGGCUCAUAGAAAUCCAUGCUGAAUUAUUUUUUAGGAAGUUCGGUUUUGUUGACGAUGGAGUUAAAUGUUAUUCGUGUUAAAGUGAGUCUUUAAGAAGAUGGCCGGCUGUGUUUCUACAUAGUUUUGACAUCUGUCUUCAUUUCUCAUUUUUCCUCUAAGAUGUUCUGCACAUAUUUGUCAAUUUCUGUGGUCUGACUCAGAGCACAGGAAGUGUGGGUACUUCUGCUGGUGUCAAUCAUUGGGACUGGAUUAUGUCUAAGCAUCUUCAACCUCACAGGGAGGAGCUUGACCGGAGAAAGAGGCUGAGAACUGCUUCUCUUACCAAGGACCUUCCCCAAGCCAGGCAUCUCCGGAGAUGGUAUGGAGCCUGGGGUAGCUCGGCCAGGCCUUUGAUCACCAGCGAUGCCAUUGCUCUUCCCCGUUUCGCGUCUGCUGUGGCUUGCUGCUGAGGCUGCUUUCAGACCUCUGGAAUCAGAAAAGGAGGUGACUAUAUCAGGUUCAGCAGAGGACACAUCUGGAACCCCUUUCCUGCUGGAGUGGACAGUGGAGGCAGCGCCACAGUGGAUUUUCAUUGGUGUCUCCCCUGGCUGCCUGGUGGCUGCCUGUCAGAGCCAGCGCUUGAGAACGUGGCUGCUAGUGAAAGUGUUUAUGUGUUUAUGUGACCACAGGUAGCAAACAGAUAAGAAACUAUCCGACUGAGGAGCAGCAAGGGUCUGGAGCUACUGCGAUUGGGUGACCUGGGUAGAGACCCUCCUGGAGAUUUCACUCUGACUAGAACUGGAAGGACAAACCCACCGCAGGAGAACCUUCAGGAGUGAGGCUAACUCAUCUGUGCCACUUAAUGCCGGAGUAACAAAGCCCCCAUCCACUGAGGACGGAGAGAGCAGAUUGUAAGGAGAGAGCAGAUUGUGUGGAGAGGCAGGGGUUUCUGUCACGUAGAAAGCAUCUUGUACAAUGUCUGACACACAGCAAGUGACCAAAAUGUGCCAGGCUGGUCCACCCAGUGCUCUCCAAACACCGUGGUCGCUUGCAUCUGUGGGAUUUUGCUGGUGAUCCUUCCCUAUUUAUCUGAGAUAAAGAAAUUGAAGAACCAUGAAAUUAAGGCACAUUGCCACAUCAUACAGUGGGCAAAUGCUGGAACAAGGUUAGAAUUCCCUUCUGUCUGAAUACUGUUUUAAAAAGUACUCCAA